UGUUUAGGGGGGUGAUUGUUGGAAUUAAUCACGAGUUCUAGUCCGGCUUGGACUUGGAACCGUCACCGUGUAGGUAUAGGAUUAGUAGUUGUCUUGGUUAGCUACUAUAUAUACGUACAAGUACCCCUGUAAUAUAGUAUUAGAUCGAUUAGAUCGCAAAGUAAUAAAAUCAUAGGUGCGACACGCACCUAUUGGCCAUCAAGUCGCCUCGUAUUCUCUCGUGUGUUGACUAGCCGACGACUCGUUCAAGCUAGCUAGCUGCCGUAGCUAGUAUCCAUCCACCUGCGUGAGUGCCUGCUUGGUUGUGUUGUACUUACGUGUGUUCGGCCAAAAGUAUCGGCCGGUUACAACACAUCAGGCAGCAAGUUCGUACGUGCAUCUCUCCGGAAAGUACUCGGAGGAUUGCAACGUCGAGGACAGGCCUGGGCCAACAUAAUCUACAUCGAUGGUAUCAUAUACUCCCUCCAUCCGGAAUUACUUGUCACAGAAAUGGGUGUAUCUAGACGUAUUUUAGAGCUAGAUACAUCCAUUUUUAUCCAUCUCUGCGACAAGUAAUUUGGGACGGAGGGAGUACCUUUUAUUGCUCUACUUUUGGACAUGAGAAGGUUCCGUUCUCUAUAGUCAUCAACGGCUAUGUACUCAUCAUUUAGUUAGUAUUAUCAAUCAAGCUGAUUUACUCCACAAAUUCAAGUGUAACUGGUAUUUCAUGUAUUUGUCAGUUAAUUAUUCAGAACCCAUGCCUGAUUUUACUAAAAGGGCACUCUACUUUGUAUUUAUAGCCUGUCCCUGUUUUUGUUUCGGUGAGCAAAGAGUUCAAUCAAUUACCAUAUGAUUUUGUGCCAGUUACUAGUUCAUCAUUCAGAACUCCUGUCUGUCUAUAUUCAAGAGUCAAGAACAGUACUGCUUAUUUUAGUGUGCCUUUGGUUAUAUUCAGUUAGCAAGAGUUAAACCUGUUACCAUAUUCAAGUCUUGUAUUCGUAAAGGCGACAUAUGUUAAUUCAAGAUAUACUUUUUAAUUAUGAUUACAUUAUGUCAGUAACCAAAAUCACCCUGUCUUGUUCUGUUCUUGUCCCUUUACUUUGACACAAUACCUUAUCAAUAUCAAAUGUCGAUUGCCCAAUAUAAUCACAUAUAUGACGUACCAGUAACCUUCCACACAAUGUAUGUUUCUUGCAAUUUGCGGAAUAUGCAAUCAUGUUGGAAGGACUAUAUGAUCUGAUACAAAUCCAUAAAUCCCAAAAUAUAGGUGAUAUACAUCAUCAGACAUCUACAGUUCAAGAAAAAUGACAUCUAUACAUAUAGGCAAUACUCAAUGUCGGUCUUGCCUGCACUGAAUCCGGAAUUUGCACCAGAAACAAUAGUGUCCAUCUUACCCGCAUUUGUAUGUAAGGCUGAUGAGAGUGGGGGUGACGUGAGGCUGCUGGAGCGAGGGCAAGGCCAGGGGCAGCGGGGGUAAAGGAGAUAUAUGGAUUAACUGCCAUUAAUAAUCUACAGGAUCUAACUUAAUUCUUGAGCUCUUGGUAAGAAUUAGUUGGAAGGUUCGGAUCAAUUGGAUUCCACAAACUCGUACACCCUCCGUUUCUUUUUAGUCUGCAUAUGAAAUUUGUCUGAAGUCAAACUUCGUAAAGUUGGAUCAACUUUAUAGGAAAAAUUACCAACAUUCACAAUACGAAUCAAUAUCAUUAGAUGCAUCAUGAAAUUAAUUUUCAUAAUAUAUUAAUUUAGUAUUGUAGGAAGGGGAGCCUUGGCGCAGCGGUAAAGUUCUUGCCUUGUGAUCAUGAGGUCACGGGUUCGAGUCCUGAAAACAACCUCUUGCAGAAAUGUACGGAAAGUCUGCAUACAGAAGAUCCAAAGUGGCCGGACCCUUCGCAGGCGGGAGCUGCGUGCACUGGGCUGCCCUGUAUAACUUUAGUAUUGUAGAUGUUGAUAUUUUUUGAUAUAAAUUUGGUAAACUUUGUGUAGUUUGACUUCAGACAAAUCUUAUAUGCGGAGUAAAAAGAUAUGGAGGGAGUACCUUUAUAUUAGUAUAGAUAUAUAAAUCAUGGGUAAUUGCUCCUUUAAAAAAAUGAAUAAGUUAAUUAGUAUUCUUCAGUUCAACAAGUUAAUCAGUACUCAUGUUACAGUAAAUUCUGUUUAUGUUUACUCAUAUGGUGCAAGCAUAAACAAAGAGCACAUAAGUUUCUUAGCAAAAUAGUCUCUCAUAAUUCCCAAGUGGUGACGUUUACCAAACCUGAUCUUACUUGACUGGUAUAACUUAGGAUUUGAUCAUCACCACUUCAGUAAAUUUUGCAGUUUGCCAUGUUUCAUCUUUUGGGCAACUAUUAAAAACUGGCAGUUCCAGAAGGACACAACCAUGAUGUUACAAGGACUGAGUAAUGCUGGUGCAUGAGUUCAAAUUUGAUUUUUCAAUAUUCUAAGUGCACACAAUUAUCAGUUGUCUGGAGUUCUGAGACCAAAUAAUGCAAAGCACUGACACGGCGAACUACUUUUUUGUGGUUGUGUCUGUAGAUAACCUCAAAAUCAAGCACAUUUCAGAACUUUUCAUGAUGUUUCCCGUCAGCAUGCCUGACGAUAGUACUCUGAUUGAAUGGAUAGGCUGGAUUAGACAUUCCAUUGACUAAUAGUUGAGACAAGGUCAAUCACCAAUAGUAGUUCUGGCCCCGGGCAACUUUUUUGGUAUUCAAUCAACUUCUGGUUUCUUGUGCAAACUGCCUUUUUGCCCAACUGAUGACAUGUUCUGGAAUUACUAGUAUUUUCUUAAUGAUUUAUUAGAGUAUAUCAGACAUAUAUGAAAUGUUACUUUUCCUCCUAUGUUUAGUUUCUAUCUGCAAGGUGUGGAAUCUUUGUGAACUUGGCACUCGGUUGGGAUUUAAGACAUACCUAAGAUUACAUACUUGAUGCACCUCUGCUGGUAAGCGCAUAUACCUUGCUGAAGGAAAGACUCCAUACAGAGAAUAUAAUAAUUGCAAGAACAGCAAUGUGCUAAUCCUAUUUAUUUAUCUUUGAUUGAAAAACCUUAUCAAGUGAAAUGUCAUGGAUUUGUUUUUGCACUGGGUGUUGGCAUACAUACUGCUUUGUGCUUCGAUACUGUUCAUGAUAAAUCCAAGCAUAAAAUUUGAAGUAUCUUUGGUAAGAUAAUUUUUUUGUGGGGAGGUAAGGUGAUUUGACAUACUAAUUUCUCUCUUGAUCAUGCUCCGUUCCAUAGGUGUGUGCUAUAGAUUGCAAGUGUGAUAUGCUAAUGCAGAUGGAAGUGUUUUUAGGUGGAACAUUUUAUAUGAUUUGGAUGAUCACUGAGCCACCAUCAAUUAAUCCAGAUGUGAUAUGCUAAUGCAGAUGGAAGUUCCACUUAGAGUAUGUCUGUUAACCAUGCAUGAUUUUUUUAUUAUACUAACACAUGCAAUUAAUCCAGACAAGUAGUAGAUUUUACAAAAACUGGAUCGGUAGCAAAUUUGCUAUGACCAGCGAUGCCCUUCGAUUUCCAAAUUUCGAUAUCUUUUGUUUUCCAGGUUACAUUUAUAUCUUGAAAACUUCAUGUGUUGCACUUGCUAUGGAGUGACAUCCACUAAUAGGUAGAGAUAUUCUUUCUACUUUGCUCAUGUACUUAUCGUGCUGUCUCCCAUCACUUUUCACAGUAAAAAGUAGUCCUUUCCCUCCAAAGAUUAAAUAAUGCUUAGAAUUCGAAUCUUUGUGACCAACCUGUACUGUACAUGUGUAAUUUCUUUCUGUCUUCUGCUGCUCUCCGUCCUUGAUCGGAUGUGUCUCUAAAUAGCGGAUUGCUCCCUGCAUCCAUUAGUGUUUGCAUAUGCUUAUAGUGAUACACUUGUAUGUUCUGUAGCUGUUAUUGACGUAUAUAUAUGCUGAUGUGAAUGAUUUAAGUUUUGCUUAAUUGUAGCCUAUCCCUUUUCCACUCACAUGGAUGUUUAGCGCCCCUUUGUUAAGACUGAUGUGUAUAACUUGACACAAUUAUAUAGUGAACUCUUACACUACUUGACCGUGACUCGGUCCCUCAAGCUUUUAACAGACAAUCAUAAGCUAAACAGUAUCAUAUUCAUGGUGGAAAGGGGAAAGUGAUUACAAUGAUAAUGAUUUAAUAAUAGCUCAAUCUACUCUAGUAUGAUGCAGCCUUUAUUUCAUAUGCAUCUUACAAAUAUUGACAUUAUUUCGCUCAUAUCGGUAUAUAUUACACGUCAUUCACCUUCACAACUUAUGAGGAGUUUCGGCAAGAUUCAUAUUAUCUAAACAUAUUCUUAUUUUUGUGGCCUCCUGCACACAUGCAUGGUAUUUUUUCCUGUGUAGAACUCAGUUCAUUUUCUGCAGCUAUACAGGUACCUUUCACAUGUCAGAUACCUUUAUUUGUUAAUCACCGGUCUUCCUGAGAGCCACCUUUCUCUACCCAUCAUCAAUUAAUACAGUAUUCAGCAUGAGUUCCACUGGUUAGUGGUUCAGUUCAUCAUUGCACGGCUUUAUCUUUGUGCUGUAACAACAGCUGUUUCAUGGACCGAUAUAAUUCUCAAAUGAUUGCUUCAAAAAGGGAUCAGACACAACUCGAAGGGAUGUGGCUGAUGCCACCAUUGAUAAUACCUAAUAUCACUAUCCAAGAAUGACUUAUCAACACCUGAGCCCUGUUCAUCUGAAAAGAAGUAUUAGAGCUGAUUUACGAUAUAUUGGUCUUGAGGUGUCAACUAUCCCUCCGGGGGAGCAUAAAUCUUUUCCAAGAAAGCGAAAGUCCACGCUGUCGAUUACCAGUAGGCUCGGCGCCUGAUCACAGCAGGGGUCCCCCACACAUCGCCAGAUCAGUGGAUGGGGCCGCCCACUGCCGAAAUCAGUGGGUGGAAAUUGGGCAGGUUGUUGGCUCUACUUUUGGUAUGGAAUGCAACCUUGGACGUCCCAGGCCCAGUUCUCUGUCAGCCGUUCAUGCUGCUGUCACCAGAAACAUCUACACAGCUUCCUUUUACUUGGGAUCAUUUUAACGAGGGAAUAGUGUGUAAGGUAGGCUGGUGAAUGAUGAUAGUGCGAACUGGCCGAACACCUACAGCUCCAAGAACUCACAAGGAAAACAGGAGUUGGCCAGGGAAAAUUUCACCACUUUCAGAAGCCCUAAAUUGGAAAAUUCUCAUGACAACAUAUCUAUAGCACAAACGGUGGAACCGGAACCUAGCCAAACAGGGCCCUUGCUUCAACUUCUACCGAUGGGCUGCAGGGCUCUGGCAGAAACAAGAGUGAAGAUUUAUAAUUGAGUAUCUCAUAUAUUGUUUUUCAACUCUCACUGCUCGUUCGAAUCAUGACAUCGGGUAGCUAAUUUUUACCAUUUUUGAGUAAUUGUUUGCCA